GCUGGACCCUAAGACCCUGUGGAGGAGACUGCACCCGGCAAGGCCGUGGAGGGCCGGCGCCGUAGCUCGCCCACUUGGGAGCACAAGAAAAAGAGACGGAACCGUGGAUCCUGUCGAAUACGGAAAAGCCUGAAGUACCACACUGGCCAGAGAAGAACCCACAACUCCUGGUGUGAGAGAAGAAAGCUAGACGGUGGGGCCCUGGGUCUGGGCCUCUGGAGACCUGGUUUACGAACCCUGCUCAGACACUGUGUGAGCAACACAUCGACCCUGGUCCCGGCACUUCAGUUCUCUAGGCCUCAAUUUCCUCAUCUGUGAGAUGGAGGUCCUAAUAACCCCUACCUCACAGGGACUGUGUCAGGAUUAAAUCAAUGGGGAAAUAUACUGUACUCUGUGAAUCUUAUGCAAUCAAUAUAAUCACUUUUAUUGAAUGCUUACUAUUGGCCAGGCUUAGAU